CUACGUAGGGGGCGAGCGUUGUCCGGAAUGAUUGGGCGUAAAGGGCGCGUAGGCGGCGCGGUAAGUCUGGAGUGAAAGUCCUGCUUUCAAGGUGGGAAUUGCUUUGGAUACUGCCGCGCUUGAGUGCAGGAGAGGUUAUCGGAAUUCCCGGUGUAGCGGUGAAAUGCGUAGAGAUCGGGAGGAACACCAGUGGCGAAGGCGGGUAACUGGACUGCAACUGAUGCUGAGGCGCGAAAGUGUGGGGAGCAAACAGGAUUAGAUACCCUGGUAGUCCACACUGUAAACGAUGAAUGCUAGGUGUAAGAGGUAUCGACCCCUUUUGUGCCGGAGUCAACACAAUAAGCAUUCCGCCUGGGGAGUACGGCCGCAAGGUUGAAACUCAAAGGAAUUGACGGGG
rnacentral:rRNA from 1 species